CGAUUUUCCGGCAACAUAUUUAUAUAGGUAUAUAUGCUAUGUUCACAAAAGUGAUAAUAAGCAACAUUUCGGUUUCCAGUAAUUUGUGUAUGUAUUAUAAUAUGCAUAUGUAAUCUCAGUACAAAAAACAACCAGUAGUUAAAUGACGAUAUUGUGUACAUCUAUUGGGUCUUGAGAGGACCUUACAUACAAAUACGACUAGCGGCCAUAGUUAUAGCCAGACCGACACUGAUGACGGUCAAUUUUAUUACUUCAG